CGCCAAAAGGGUUUAUAACCCUAGCUCAUCACUUCGUCUUCCUCAUUCGACCAGCCAGCCCAGAAAUCCCCAAAUCAGAGAAACCCCAAACCCUCUCCGCCAACCACCACGAAAAAUCACCCCCAUUUCACCAUUUUUUCACCAUUUUAGCUCAUUUUUGUUUCUAAAUCUUCUAUUUUUCAUACUUAAAACUAUAUACCUGAAAAGAUCACAUUUUUCCUCAUUUUUUUGGGUAAACCGAAGGUAGAGGUAGUGGUUGUGGUGGUUAUACCUCCGACCACCGUUUUUAGAGGAGAAAAUAUUGUAUCUCAACGUCUAUUAAGGUUGUGAGGUCAAUUUGCAAGGAUCCGACUUAUUUGGUGUUGAUCGGUUUCAAGGUAGCUCGAGGUAUACAUUUACUAACUUUUAUUAUAAUAAUUAUGAAUGCUUAGUUGAGUUUGAAUAUCUUAAAUAUUCAUCCGUAGUGAAGUAGGUUCUGUGAAUACAUAUACUGCAGUCGGAUGGGUGGUAAACUUUUAUAUUGCUAAAUGUUGUUGUGAUUAUUUUAUAUUGUUUUGAAUUGUGUUUUGUUGUUAUUAAUAGGUUUGAAUUUUUUUGGAAAUGUUCAAUUAUAACCGUUAUGCUGCCGAAAUUUCGGUAGAAUUAGGAUAAUAUUUGAUUUUUUUUUUCUAUUAAACUUGGUUGUUAGGAUUUUAUCGGAAGUCACUUUAUCGGAAGUCAAGUACAUAAUUUUUAGUAUAAGGUAUGCUUUCUUUAACUUACUUUUAUAAGAAUGUUUUUUUUUUAUAUAUAUAUUUAGAUAAUUCUUAAAUACUUAGAGUAAUUUUAGAAUAAUAUUGAUGUAAUACAUAUGAUAGAUAUAGUAGGCUAAAAAAAAAGAUAUACAAAAAAUGGUCUAAUGAGAUUUGAACUUGUGACCAAAAAGAUAAAUUGAUAAGUCUUUACCAAUAUACCAAAACACAAUCUUUAUAUAAA